AAUCAUCUAAGGAGCUAUUAGCAAGAAAGAGUUAAGCUCUAAACGACAUUUUUUCCAAACUGAUGCUAAACAUAUAGAAGAAAGGGACAUAACAACCCUAAAUAUAAUAUUGAAUGUCGAACAUCUUCCACAACAGCAGAAGACAGUUCAUGAAAGGAUGAUUCUGAUGAUUGCAGUGAAGAAAGUGAAGUCCUUGCUGUUGCUUAUACUUAGCCUUGUGAGAAGAUGUUUUUGUUGUUUAAGGAAGAGACGGCACUCAGAUGCUCACCUCCCCAUUGCUGUCACAGGAGAUGGGGAACUGAAGUCGGCUCCUAACCAGCCAGAUGAAGGGUUUGGUGGCUGGGACUCAUGGGACGUGCCGUCGUCUGUAGUCAGUGAUGGU
rnacentral:lncRNA from 1 species